CCCCUAGAUGUUCUGGGCCGCACGCGCGCUACACUGAACAGUUCAACAAGUCUUAACCUUGGCCGAUAGGUCUGGGUAAUCUUUGAACGCUGUUCGUGAUUGGGAUAGACCUUUGCAAUUAUGGGUCUUCAACGAGGAAUUCCUAGUAAACGCAAGUCAUCAGCUUGCAUUGAUUACGUCCCUGCCCUUUGUACACGCCGCCCGUCGCACCUACCGAUUGAAUGGUCCGGUGAAAUCUCGGGACGGCGGCUUGGUCGCUUGCGUCCGACUGCUGAAACUUGAUUAAACCAUAUCAUUUAGAGGAAGGUGAAGUCGUAACA
rnacentral:rRNA from 1 species